rnacentral:rRNA from 1 species
GAUGAACGCUGGCGGCGUGCCUAAUACAUGCAAGUCGAGCGAACGGACGAGAAGCUUGCUUCUCUGAUGUUAGCGGCGGACGGGUGAGUAACACGUGGAUAACCUACCUAUAAGACUGGGAUAACUUCGGGAAACCGGAGCUAAUACCGGAUGAUAUUUUGAACCGCAUGGUUCAAAAGUGAAAGACGGUCUUGCUGUCACUUAUAGAUGGAUCCGCGCUGCAUUAGCUAGUUGGUAAGGUAACGGCUUACCAAGGCAACGAUGGAUAGCCGACCUGAGAGGGUGAUCGGCCACACUGGAACUGAGACACGGUCCAGACUCCUACGGGAGGCAGCAGUAGGGAAUCUUCCGCAAUGGGCGAAAGCCUGACGGAGCAACGCCGCGUGAGUGAUGAAGGUCUUCGGAUCGUAAAACUCUGUUAUUAGGGAAGAACAUAUGUGUAAGUAACUGUGCACAUCUUGACGGUACCUAAUCAGAAAGCCACGGCUAACUACGUGCCAGCAGCCGCGGUAAUACGUAGGUGGCAAGCGUUAUCCGGAAUUAUUGGGCGUAAAGCGCGCGUAGGCGGUUUUUUAAGUCUGAUGUGAAAGCCCACGGCUCAACCGUGGAGGGUCAUUGGAAACUGGAAAACUUGAGUGCAGAAGAGGAAAGUGGAAUUCCAUGUGUAGCGGUGAAAUGCGCAGAGAUAUGGAGGAACACCAGUGGCGAAGGCGACUUUCUGGUCUGUAACUGACGCUGAUGUGCGAAAGCGUGGGGAUCAAACAGGAUUAGAUACCCUGGUAGUCCACGCCGUAAACGAUGAGUGCUAAGUGUUAGGGGGUUUCCGCCCCUUAGUGCUGCAGCUAACGCAUUAAGCACUCCGCCUGGGGAGUACGACCGCAAGGUUGAAACUCAAAGGAAUUGACGGGGACCCGCACAAGCGGUGGAGCAUGUGGUUUAAUUCGAAGCAACGCGAAGAACCUUACCAAAUCUUGACAUCCUUUGACAACUCUAGAGAUAGAGCCUUCCCCUUCGGGGGACAAAGUGACAGGUGGUGCAUGGUUGUCGUCAGCUCGUGUCGUGAGAUGUUGGGUUAAGUCCCGCAACGAGCGCAACCCUUAAGCUUAGUUGCCAUCAUUAAGUUGGGCACUCUAAGUUGACUGCCGGUGACAAACCGGAGGAAGGUGGGGAUGACGUCAAAUCAUCAUGCCCCUUAUGAUUUGGGCUACACACGUGCUACAAUGGACAAUACAAAGGGCAGCGAAACCGCGAGGUCAAGCAAAUCCCAUAAAGUUGUUCUCAGUUCGGAUUGUAGUCUGCAACUCGACUACAUGAAGCUGGAAUCGCUAGUAAUCGUAGAUCAGCAUGCUACGGUGAAUACGUUCCCGGGUCU